ACGCACCAACCUCGCAUGCCAGGCUUUCUACUUCCGCUUCCCUCCCAAACACGCUCUGCAUGCUGGAGCGUGGGGAGGGAAGCGGAAGUAGAGAGCCUGGCUGCUCGUCUUUCUUU